rnacentral:rRNA from 1 species
CCUACGGGUGGCUGCAGUCGAGAAUCUUCGGCAAUGGGCGCAAGCCUGACCGAGCGACGCCGCGUGGAGGACGAAGGCCUUCGGGUUGUAAACUCCUGUCGAGGGGGAGCAAGGCCCUGCGAAGAGCAGGGUCGGAGCGAUCCCUGGAGGAAGCACGGGCUAAGUUCGUGCCAGCAGCCGCGGUAAGACGAACCGUGCGAACGUUAUUCGGAAUCACUGGGCUUAAAGCGCGUGCAGGCGGGCCGGCACGUCGGUCGCUGAAAUCCCCCGGCUCAACCGGGGAACGGGCGCCGAUACGACCGGCCUGGAGGGGGGUAGGGGGAGCCGGAACUCACGGUGGAGCGGUGAAAUGCGUUGAGAUCGUGAGGAACGCCCGUGGCGAAAGCGGGCUCCUGGACCCCGCCUGACGCUGAGACGCGAAAGCCAGGGGAGCGAACGGGAUUAGAUACCCCUGUAGUC